CGACAAGCAAUUAGUCGUGAGUGGUGUCGAGGUCGUGAGCGCUCAUGAGGUCGUGAGCGCUUGCGAUUAUCCCGGCUACUAAUGUCCAAGCCUUGGCGUCAAACCAUGCAUAUGUAAUUAAAUAGUCCAGUCGUUAAUAUUUCCGACUGUUCCGAGGGAACGAACAUGUGUUGUUUCGGACAACACAAAAUACAUAAGUGCAGAAUAAGAAGCAUAUUCUCUCAAACAGGAAGAUCCGAGAAAUUAUACAAAGAAUAAUUCUGUGAGCAAAACAGAAGCAAGAAACAGAAGCAUGUUUGUCGCGCCAAGCCCUAUUUCCUAAUCCGGUUAGUCAAUAUGGCUGGGCCGUGACACUUAUUUUUAAACUUUAAAUAUAUAAAAAGUUUUUAUUACUUAAUUAAAUGUGGAUAUUUGAAUGUAUUGUUACUAAUAAACCAUUUUUAGUAAAUAGAAUUGGUGAUGUAGAAUAAACCAAACAUAAGGUUAAAAUAUUGGAAUGUAUGUUUAUUAAAUAUUAUAAAAAGUGUUAAUUUAUCUAAACAACAGAAUAAUAAUUAUAAAAAUCAAAAUCUACUAAAGAAUAUAUAAUAAUUUAUUUGCUAAAUAAAUUAGUUUUGAAAAUGGAUAGUGCUUAAGUAUACUACUUAUAUUUUACUGUCAAGGUAAAAACCAAGUUUUGAUAAAUAAACAAAUAUAAAAAUUAAUAAUAAAAUUUUAAAAAUAAUUCUGGGUAAAAUAAUCUUUAAUAUAAAUUUUAAUAAUAAUAGUAAAUACUUAAAUAAAAAUUUUAAAGAUUGAAAUAAAAAAAGGUUUUAUGUGAAUAGUAGUUAAAUAUGGGUUAGUUAAUUCUAAAGUAUAGGAAAAUUUUGUUUUAAAAUUCACAUUUGUAACACCUGUUGAAAGAAAAAUUGAUUAAUAUUCUAACAUUUGGAUAUAAAUUUUAUGCAAUAAUGUAAAUAAAUUUGAAAACACAAAUAGAAAUUCUAGAAAAAAUUCUCUUUUUUUUUAAUAAUCCAUUAUCUUAAAAUCGGUUUAUCCGAAAUUAAGGUUUAAUAACUAGCAGAGUUCAACACCUUUAUUAAAUCCAAUAUACUCCCAAUUGUUUUUAAAAAUCUAAAAAAAGGAAUAACUUUUAUGCCAAGUUGUAUUUAUAACUGUAGCAAAUCUCUAAAGUGAAAAGCUUUUAAUUAAUAAAACAAUGUAAAUAAAGAAAAUCAACAAAAUAAAUCUGUAACUUCAGAAAAAAAAUUAAUUCUAAAAAUUAAGUACAUUAAGCUUUGGGUGGAUUCCAACAGACUAGUUUAGUUUUAGCUUCACAGCCAAAAUUUUGUAAAAUUAUUUGAAAAAUGUUUUUGGUAGGUUUUGGCUAUUUAGCAUACGUUUAAUAAUUGAUUUAGAAUUGGUACGAAUAAAAAAAAUUUAAUUAUUUAAUUAAAAUAUAGUAUUACAAUGGCCAGAAAGUAAUAUUGAUGUAAUAUAAUUUCUACUUAAUACUCUAAAUAUCAAAGUAAAGAAAUUCAAUUAAGUACAAAUAAAUAAUAAAAGUAAUUAUAACUUUCUUAAAAUAAUCAAAUGUUUUGUUAUUUAAUUAGUAAUAUGUAUAAAUAGAUUAAUAAGAUUUUUAUUAUUCUUAUCUAUUAUUUAACGAAAUUAUAGUUAAAGGAAUAGAUUUGGUAGAAACAGCAGAAAAAGAAGAUCUUAUUAAGCUUAACUCUAGUUUAACAUUAUGAAGAGACAUAUGAGGUGUAGAAUAGGAGGGAGCUUCGGCGCUGGUGAAAUACCUCCACUCGUACUAUUUCUUUACUUAUUUAUUGAAGCGAAACUGGGUUUUACCGCCUAACUUCUAGUGUUAAAAUCCUUUGUGGGCUGAUCCGGGAUGAAGAUAUUGUUAGGUAGGGAGUUUGGCUGGGGCGGCACAUCUAUUAAAUUAUAACGCAAAUGUCCCAAGGAAAACUUAUGGAGAAUAGAAAUCUUUAGUAGAACAAAAGAACAAAAGUCCCCUUAAUUUUGAUUUUUAGUGUAAAUACAAACCAUAAAAGUAUAACCUAUUGAUUCUUUAAUCUUUCGAAAUUUAAAGCUAGAGGUGCUAAAAAAGUUAUUAUAGGGAUAACUAAUUUGUAACAGCUAAGCGUUUAUAGCGACGUUGUUUUUUGAUCUUUUAAUAUCGGUUUUUCUUAUCAUACUGAAGUAGAAUUUGGUAAACGUUGGAUUGUUUAUCUAUUAAUAGAAAACGUGAGCUAAGUUUAGAUCGUCGUGAGAUAGGUUAGUUUUACCUUACUAUUAACCGUCGUCGCAAUAGUAAUUCAACUUAGUACGAGAGGAAUUGUUAAUUCAGAUAAUUAGUUUUUACGGCUAUCCGAUUGAGCAUUACCGCAAAGUUACCAUCUGUUGGAUUAUAGCUGAACGCCUCUAAGUCAGAAUCUAUGCUAGAAUGUGAUGAUUUUUACUCCUACACAUCUAUACUCGUAUAAGAAUAAACUCCGGCUAUGUGUUAUAGCAGGCUGAUAACGAGUUCCCCAAUCGAAAAUUCGGGUUUCCUUGUCGACGUAUUGCAAUUUAACCAUACGUAGAAAUAAAUCCCUUGCAGACGAUUUGAGUGUGAGGCAGGGUGUUGUAAACAGUAGAAUAGCCUUGUUGUUACGAUCUGCUGAGGUUAAAUUUUCGCUUCCUAGAUUUAUUUUUAGAAAAUUCCUCUCUUUCGGUUUAUGGUUUGGUUGAUAUGCGAAACCGUACCAACCGAAGGCUAUAGAAAACCGAAAAAAGCUAUA
rfam:Arthrobotrys oligospora ATCC 24927 unplaced genomic scaffold scaffold00001, whole genome shotgun sequence.